rnacentral:sRNA from 1 species
UUCUCUUCUUCUUUUUUUUUCCCGCUUG